rnacentral:rRNA from 1 species
UACGAAGGGGGCUAGCGUUGCUCGGAAUUACUGGGCGUAAAGCGCACGUAGGCGGUCUUUUAAGUCGGGGGUGAAAUCCUGGAGCUCAACUCCAGAACUGCCUUCGAUACUGGAAGACUUGAGUCCGGGAGAGGUGAGUGGAACUGGCGAGUGUAGAGGUGAAAUUCGUAGAUAUUCGCAAGAACACCAGUGGCGAAGGCGGACUCGCUGGCCCGGUAC